rnacentral:rRNA from 1 species
GACGGAGGGUGCUAGCGUUGUUCGGAAUUAGUACGUGGGCGUAAAGGGCGCGUAGGCGGCUUUGGUAAGUCGGGGUGUGAAAGCCCGGGGCUCAACCCCGGAACGGCACCCGGAUACUCCGAGGCUCGAGACCGGGAGAGGAGGUGGAAUACCCAGUGUAGAGGUGAAAUUCGUAGAUAUUGGGUGGAACGACCGGUGGCGGAAAGCCGGCGUC